CAGUAGCCACGGUAACACGGAGGAUCCAAGCGUUAUCCGGAAUCAUUGGGUUUAAAGGGUCCGUAGGCGGUCUUGUAAGUCAGUGGUGAAAGCCCAUCGCUCAACGGUGGAACGGCCAUUGAUACUGCAGGACUUGAAUUAUUGGGAAGUAACUAGAAUAUGUAGUGUAGCGGUGAAAUGCUUAGAGAUUACAUGGAAUACCAAUUGCGAAGGCAGGUUACUACCAAUUGAUUGACGCUGAUGGACGAAAGCGUGGGUAGCGAACAGGAUUAGAUACCCCCGUAGUCCCUGUCUCUUAUAC
rnacentral:rRNA from 1 species